rnacentral:lncRNA from 1 species
UCACCCAUCCACAUUUCUAAAAAUUGUCUCGUCACUCCCAACAAAAUACAAUGCACAUAAUCGGGAACAAAACCCCAGACUACAUGAAAGUGUGGCAAGUUUAGGAGUGGAGAGACUGUCUUCACUUCUCUUUCAGAAUGCUGUUGUUUCAAUUCGAUUUCUGCAUCUUCCAUAAUUUCAUUUUCAGUGCGUUCUGGAGGCUCAUUUUUUUCUACUGGGCACCUGGUAGCGCCUGCAAUAUGUUCCCCCCUUUGCAGAUACCAGUUGCACCCGUAGUAGGCAUUGAGCUGCAUGACCCCUUGCAUGGAUGCUCUUGCCACUGAACCGACUGAACAGCAAAUGCAAUAUGCCCUGAACAGCUUCGGCUGCCCUUCAUGCUCUAGAACAAAACCAUUCUGUGACAAACCAUCCAUUCUUUCUACAAACGCAUCUAGAAAGACGCUCAUAUCUGUUUUUUAUUUCCAAACCAAACAGCAGCCAAUACAAGUUUGUCUGCUCUUUGCAUAAUGGGCACCUUAUUCAGCAAUAACUGUAUAGGCCAAAUUGAAGUGUUGCUGGAUGAAAACAGUGGCAUGCCAUCUGCAUUUAAUGUCAAACUAAUCCUGUGCCCCUUGUCUGCUGUAGCAGAAACGAAUUUGCGAUAUAAUUCCCCAUCACAAAUAUCCGAAAGGUUACUGCUCCGACUUAAGGGCUUUGUCAGGUCAAGGAUUGUGCAGUUCUUUAAAACCUUUCUAAGGUGAGAGGGCAGAUCCAAUAGGACAAAGAAUGAUGCACUGUUUACCGAGGACGCUAGAGCCCAGCCACAUUUCUGACACUGCAAGCAAGAACUCGAUUGUACAUACGAGUGCACUGCCGAACAGCUGUCACAAAUGUAAUAAAAUCUGAUGCAGGUGCCGUGUUCUGAAAAGAGCUUACCAAGCUGGUAUCGCGAGUGUGGCAGAACAGGUCGUUCAAAAAACAAGUUGAUCAUUUCAAUCAAACUUAUCAUUGCUGUAAAUGACAAAUUACUUUUUAUGACAUGUCUAAAUACCAUUAAAAGCAUCUCGCCUU